UAUUUUAUCUGCCAACGGGAUUGGUGAAAAUCGUGUUUACAUACGACAUAGAUUCAGUAGUGCCAACGUCGAAACGCCAAAAAUCUUUGGUUUCCCCAGUUAUCUAUAAUACUCUUCACAAAAAUAUAAAGGUUAUUAUUCUCAGCAACCUGACAAAUAAAGCAUAUGAACAUAAAUGAAUAGUUAGUACACAAAGUCUACUAGGCCUAAAGAUAUAUUUUACUGUAUAAAGACUUUUCCCGAUUGACGUCAAUCAGAAAAAGUCUAAAGUAUCAAGUGCAAGGACUUCUUACUACUUAUUGACAACACAGGCAUCACAUCAUAAACAAAAGAGGGUUAUGUUUUUUAAUUAACAUCGAUGUCAACAUAUCCUUAAUACAUAUGUAUAAAAUGCUAAUUAGAUCUACGGAAAUGAUUAGAUCUACAAAGAAAGAAUAUUAUUAAGUUAGAUAUAAGUUUAAAAAGAUAGUAAAGUUAGAUAUUUUACAUCACUGAUGUUUGUAUUGAUGAUUUAUUAUUAAUGCAUUAUUUUAUAACUUGAAUCUAUAGAUCGACGAUAAUAUCUUCAAGACAUAAAAUCUAUAAGAAGACAGGAAGACAGUUAACCUCUAGACCUCAAUUUCCAAGAUGAAAUCCGAUUCAUAAUACCACAAAUUACUGACAAUUCCCAGAUUUAAUAAAACCAUUUUAGCCGUCUGUGUGUAGAGUGGCAUGUCAUAUAUCACACAUAAAUAAAAGGAUCCCCAGUAGCAUAAGUGUUUCUUCGACUAUCACCAAAAAAAUUAUUUAUUAAAAAGGCAAAAUUUACAUAUUUAAUAGAAACUGGAAAUUCCACAUCCGUCAGAUAGUCCAUGGACUUGUUACACAUAGUCCUUAAAAAAAUAUCAGGAGUUUAGUGCCUUCGGGAAACUAUAGAAAAUUAAAUACUGUAAAGAAACCAAAUCACUACUCAUUAUCACAUAUCCAAGAUUUCGUGAAAAUAUCUUUUUGUCUAUUGAUUCGGAAAAAAUGCUAUGACAUUCCGAUGACAAGCGACUUAAAAUAACCAUUAUUAUUCUGUUUAUCCUAUUCAAAUUUUUGGCAAAUGUUAUUUAGACUAAAGAACGAAUAAUAAAUUUCUCAUGAAUUUUAUUUUCCAAUUCUUCGGUUAUUUAUAUACUAUGUACAUAAUGCUAUUUGGAUGAUGUUUUACGAUUAGUAACAUCGGGACAUAAAAAUAUGGCCUUUAUAAUGUCAUUUUCGAAAAAGCUUCAGUGCAAACUAGUAAAGUAAAAAUAAUCAGGAGCUAUCAACAACUACUGGUGAACUACGAAAUAAUCAAAUAUAAUAGAAACUUCAUAGAAAGGAGAUAACUUAUUAUAAAGACAGAUCAUUGACCUUAGUCUUUUACCAGAGGUCGGCAAAGAUAUUAUUAAGACAAAUUAAACAGUUAAAUUUUAUUGGUCAAUUCGCCACCGAAAUUGUUCGUGUAAGUGGCAAAGAAAAUGCGAUAGCCGACAACACUAUCGUGCAUAGCUACUAUAGACUUUCCAGUCAUUAUUAGCACUGAAAAGUUAGCGGAGGAAUAACGAUAAGACAUACUUAAUGAAAAAAACUCUCAAAUUCAGACUAUUCAUUUUCACCGACUGAGUGAAAUGUUCAUUGUAGAUAUUUUAAAUUCGUACGUGCGUUAAAGAAACUAUCAAAUUUAAAAUUCUGAAACUAUUACGUGAAAGAAUUUUUUAUUAUAUCCAUAUUAAAGCUAACUUUUUCGUUACUAUCGACAAGAUAUCUGCACUAAUACUCAUGCAACGCAAUGAACGGGAUAUUUUGCUUCAUUAUUAAUGUUUUUUGGUGAUGUAAACGAGAUAUUUGAUAUCAAUAAAUCUGGUAUGCGAUGCUAUGAACAAACAUAUUUUAUGUCUAUCCGUCAAUAUUUACAAUAUCACUUAUUCGACACUUUGAGCGAAACUUUCUACGUCUGAUUUGAUUUUUAACUAAAGUUAUCAUACAGAAUUCCAUGCGUAUAGUAAUCAUGGCUCGACGAGUAAAAAAUCGGAUCAUAAAUGAUAGUAAUAGCAAAGAUAGUAAUGCUGAAUUUGUGUGAGUGAUGCUGACAUUCCAUUGCCAAAGAGACAGAGUAAACUUUUCGAUACCAAGGCUAUGGAUGUAUCCGUAGCUACUUAUUUUCGAUCACUUAUUCUAAAUUACACAGGCAAUCGUAAUGGAAUGCAAAGAAAAUUGGUCAAUAGUAGUUCUUAUUUUUUUUCUUUGAAUCACAAAGUUGUAAAUUGUAUUGGAAGAACAACGCGUCAUUAGAUAGGACAAAAAUUUGUUUGGUCGGCUAAGAAUAAAUAAGCAAAUACAGCGAAAGAAAAAACUUAUUUGUCAUGUACAGAAUUGCAAUUCUUAAUAAAAGAUUUAACCAAGUA